rnacentral:lncRNA from 1 species
AAACUCUCAAUACCAUGGUUUGAGUAAUGCAAGUGGAUUCCUUGAACAUGCCUUCAUUGAGAAGCUUCUGUUUUGGGUGUUUUAUGAAUGUCCAAAAGGUAGCUAUUUAUUUGCUUAUAAUCGUCUGAUAAGUGCUAAUAUUAGACUUCCAAAAACAAAAGUUGUGAAUAUAUUUAUUUAACUGUACAAGUUUUUUCCAUUUAUAAUCACAGCUAUGGUUUUAACUAUUAUAUGAUAUGAUAUGAUGCACAGGGGCAACAACAUAAUCUUUUAUCUCUCUUUUGUUGCAUUAAACUUACACUUUUAUUGGGUUUGACCUAUUUUUUUUAUUAGAUUAGGGAUUCUGUUAUGGAAUACUAUAAUUGUAGGUUGUUUCUGCCUUUUUAAUUUUCAUGAACACAAACUAAUGUUUUACUCUUUUUACAGGAUGUUGCCCUGAAACCAUGGUGGGCCCCUUUAAACCCAACCUCAUCUCGAAACCAACAUCUCCAAAGGUUAAUUUCUUGAAACCAAUUACAUCAAUAUUUAUCCAAAUAUAUAGAAACCAAUUUUGAUAAGACUUAUUAGUUUUCUAUUCAAGAAAAAAGAUUGCACUGUUGCAUUGUGUUUUCAGUUUUUCCCUUAUUAAAGUUAUGCUUCCAGAACUCUUAUUUAUUACAACAUUUUAAUUUAGAAAAGUUUACCCAUUACAUUGAUUAUGUACGGCUUUUGACUUAUGUUUUGUGGUAUGUGUUUGUAUGAGCUGUCAUCACAUGUUAUGGGAAAGACAAAGAAGAAAUUUUCUUUUACCAAUUAUAUUCAUAUUAAGUCUAAGGUAUGUCAUUUCCUGAUGCUGUUAUUCUUUUUCAAUUUCAAUUUUCUUUUACCAAUUCUGUGAUACUAAACAUGUGUAUAUUUCCACUUUUAUAGUGGGGAUCCAGAAAUAGCAAAAUGCUUUCAUUUCAUACUCCAGGUAUGUUUACCACCAAAUCACUCUAUAUUUUGUUGUGUGUCAUAAAUUCAGUGUUCAUGUUCAUGUCCUGCUCCUCUUAUUCUUUUACAAUUAGCAUGGUGCUUUAAUUUUAUUUUGAAAAAACUUCCCAUUAAAUCAUUGUACAUUCAAAAAACAUCCAUUUUGCAUUGAAUUCUCAUAAAUCAUCCUAUUUUUAGCAUCCUACUUUCACUUUUCUUUAUCUAACAUCAAUGAAACAUCAAGCUUCUCUUUUUCUCAUCUAUGCAUUUUACUUUGAAAAAUUUCCAAUUAAAACAUUCUACAUUCAUUAACGUCCAUUUUAUGUUGAGUUUUCAAAAUAUCAUCCCAUUUUUAGCAUUGUAUUUUUAACUUUUCUUUCUAUUACAUCAUUGAAACAUCAAACUUUUUUGUUCAUCUAUGCAUUCUGUUUUCACUUUUCUUUCUAUAAACAUCACUGAAAUGUCAAACUUCACUUUUCUCAUCUAUGCAUUUUACUUCGAAAAAAAAUUACAAUUAAAACCUUGUACUUUAAAAACUUCUAUUUUACAUUAAAUCUUCAAAAAUCAUCUCAUUUUUAGCAUUGCACUUUAACUUGUUUAUUUAUGUAAUAUCUUUGAAACAUUAAACUUCUUAUUUCUCAUCUAUGCAUUUUAUUUUGAAAAAACUUUCAAUCAAAGCAUUUUAUUUUCAAAAUUUUUUAUUUAACAUUCGAUUUUCAAAAAAUCAUUCCUUUUUUAGUAUUUUACUUUAACUUUUUUUUUUUUAUAUGUAACAUCAUUGAUACAUCAAUUUUUUCUUUUUCUCAUCUACGCAUUUUACUUUUAAAAAGCUUCCAAUUACAGCAUUCUAUUUUCAAAAUUGUCCCAUAUACAUUGAAUUUUACAAAAUCAUCCCGCUUUUAAUAUAAUACUUCACAUUUUUUCGUUCAGUAGCUUUAUUAAAAAUCAUAUUUUUUUUUCUCAUCUAUGUGUUUUACUUUAAAAAAACCUCCAUUUAAAGUAUUAUAUUUUAAAAAAACUUCCAUUUUACAUUCGAUUUUCAAAAAUCAUCAUAUUUUUACCAUUUUACUUUUGCUUUUCUUUCUAUAACAUCUUUGAAACAUCAAACUUCUCAUAUCUCAUCUAUGUAUUUUACUUUAAAAAAACUUCCAAAUAAAGCAUUCUACUUUCAAAAAUAUCCUAUUUUUAGCAAUGUAUAACAUCAUUGAAGCAUCAAUUUUUUCUUUUUCUCAUUUAUGCAUUUUACUUUGAAAAAACUUCUAGUUAAAGCAUUCUAAGUUCAAACUUAUGCACUUUACCUUUCUCUUUUUGUAACAUCAUUGAUAUAUCAAACUUAUUUUUUUCUUAUAUAUGCAUUUUACUUUGAAAAAUCUUGAAAUCAAACAUUCUACUUUCAAUUACUUCUUUUUUACAUUAAGCUUUCAAAAACCAUCAUUCUUUUAGCAUUGUACUUUCACUUUGCUUUCUAUAUCACCAUUGAAACAUCAAACCUUUGUUUUUCUCAUCUAUGCAUUUUAUUUUGAAAAAACUUCCAACUAAAUUUUUCUUUCAAAAUCUUCCAUUUUACAUUGAAUUUUAAAAAUCAUCCGAUUUUUAACAAUGUACUUUCAAUUUUCUUCCUGUAACAUCAAUUAAACGUGAAACCUCUCUUUUUCUCAUCUUUGCAUUUUAUUUUUAAAAAACUUCCAAUUAAAACAUUUUUUGUUGAAUAUCUUCAAUUUUACACAUUGGUUUUUCAAAAAUGAUCAGAUUUUUAACAUUGUACUUUAGAUUUUCUUUAUAUAACUUCAUUGAAACAUCAAACUUCUCAUUUCUCAUCUACGCAUUUUACUUUGAAAAAACUUCCAAUUAAAGCAUUCUCCUCUUAAAACUAUCAUGUUUUUAACAUUAUACUUUAACUUUUUCUUUCUGUAAAAUCAGUGAAACAUCAAACUUAUCUUUUUCUCAUCUAUGCACUUUACUUUGAAAGAAGUUCCUAAUAAAGCAUUCUAUUAUCAAAAACACCCAUUUGCAUUGAAUUUUUAAAAAUUGAACCCAUUUUUUGCAUUGUACUUUAACUUUUCUUUCUGUUUUUCUAAUCUAUGCAUUCAACUUUCAAAAACAUCCUGUAUACAUUAAAUUUUUAAAAAUCAUCCCAUUUUAUAACAUUCUACUUUCAGUUUCUUAUUACUGUUAACACAUUGCAUUUUCAAAAAUAUCCUAUUGUUAGCAUUGCACUCUCAUCUAUGCAUUUUACUUCGAAAAUACUUGCAGUUAAAGCAUUAUACUCUCAAAAACUUCCAUUUUAUAUUGAAUUUCUUAAAAUCAUCACAAAUUUAGCAUUAUACUUUACCUUUUUCUUUCUAUAACAUCAUUGAAACAUCAAACAUCUCUUUUUCUCAUUUAUGCAUUUUACAUUGAAAAAACUCCCAAUUAAAGCAUUCUAUAUUUCAAAAACUUUCAUUUUACAUUCAAUUUUCAAAAAUCAUCCAAUUUCUAGAAUUUUAAGUUACAUUUUUCUUUUUGUAACAUUUUUGAAACAUCUAAUAUCUUUUAUCUCUCAUCUAUGCAUUUUACUUUGAAAAAACUUACAAUUAAAACAUUGCACUCUCAAAAACUUCCAUUUUACAUUGAAUUUAUCAAAAUCAUCACAAAUUUAGCUUUAUACUUUAACAUUUUCUUUCUAUAACAUCAUUGUGACAUCAAACAUCUUUUUUUCUCAUUCAUGCAUUUUACAGUGAAAAAACUUUCAAAUAAAGCAUUCUACAUUCAAAAACAUCUUUUUUUCUCAUUCAAACAUCUUUCUUUCUAUAACAUCAUUGUGACAUCAAACAUUUUUCUUUUUGUAACGUCUUUGAAACAUCAAACAUCUUUUUUUCUCAUCUAUGCAUUUUACUUUGAAAAAAGUUACAAUUAAAGCAUUAUACUCUCAAAAAUUUUCAUUUCAAUCUGAAUUUUUAAAAAUUAUGGCUAUUUUUGGAUUAUACUUUAGCUUUUUCUUUCUAUAACAUCAUUGAAAGAUCAAACAUCUCUUUUUCUCAUUUAUGCAUUUUACAUUGAAGAACAUUCCAAUUAAAGUAUUCUACAAUAAAAUACUUCCAUUUUGCAUUCAAUUUUCAAAAAUCAUGCCAUUUUUUGAAUUGUACUUCACAUUUUUCUUUCGGAAUCAUUUUUGAAACAUCAAACAUCUUUUUUUCUCAUCUACACAUUUUUACUUUGAAAAAACCUACAAUUAACUCAUUCUAAAUUUAACUACUUCCAUUUUACAUUUAGUUUUCAAAAGUCGUCCCAUUUUUACGACUAUAGUUUAACUUUCCUUUCUGUUUCAUCUUUGAAACAUCAAACAUCUUUUUUUUUUUUCUCAUCUAUGCAUUUUACUUUGAAUAAACUUACAAUUAAAACAUUCGACUCUCAAAAACUUCCAUUUUGAAUUGAAUUUUUAAAAAUCAUCACAAAUUUAGCGUUUUACUUUACGUUUUUCUUUCUAUAACAUCAUUGAAUCAUCAAAAAUCUCUUUUUCUCGUUUAUGCAUUUUACAUGGAAAAAACUCAUUAAAGCAUUUUACAUUCAAAUACUUCCAUUUUACAUUUAAUUAUCACAAAUAUCGCAUUUUUAGAAUUGUACUUUUAUUUUAUUCUUUUUGUAACAUCUUUGAAACAUCAAACAUCUAUGUUUCUCAACUAUGCCUUUUACUUUGAAAAAAACUUACAGUUAAAACAUUCUACUUUCAAAAACCUCCAUUUUACAUUCAAUUUUCAAAAAUCAUCUCAUUUUUAGAAUUAUACUUUACAUUUUUCUUUCUGUCACAUCUUUGAAACAUCAAACAUCUUUUUUUUCUCAUCUAUGCAUUUCACUUUGAAUAAACUUACAAUUAAGGCAUUAUACUCUCUAAAACUUCCAUUUUACAGUGAAUUUUUAAAAAUCAUCACAAAUUAUACUUUACCUUUUUCUUUCUAUAACUUCAUUGAAACAUCAAACAUCUCUUUUUCUCAUUUAUGCAUUUAACAUUGAAAAAACUUCCAAUUAAAGCAUUCUACAUUAAAAUACUUUCAUUUUACAUUCAAAUUUCAAAAAUCAUCUCAUUUUUAGGACUAUAUUUUAACUUUCCUUUUUGUAACAUCAUUGACACAUCAACCAUCUUUUUUUUUUUUUUAUCAUCUAUGCAUUUUACGUUGAAUUUUUUUUCCAAUUAAUGCUUUCUACUUUCGAAAUCGUCCGUUUUACGUUGAAUUUUCAAAAAUCAUCCCAUUUUUAGCAUUGUACUUUCUUUAACAUAAUUGAAACAUCAAACAUUUUUUUUCUUAUCUAUGCAUUUUACUUUGAAAAAACUUGCUUUUUAAGCAUUCUACUUUGAUAAACUUCCAUUUUACAUUUAAUUUUCAAAAAACAUCAUAUUUUUAGCAUUGUACUUUAACUUUCUUUGUGUAACAUAAUUAAAACAUCAAACUUUUUUUUUUCUCAUCUAUUUGUUUUACUUUGAAAAAUCUUACAAUUAAAACAUUCUACUUUUAAAAACUUCCAUUUUACAAUGAGUUUUUUAAAAUCAUCACAUUUUUAUCAUUGUACUUUAACUCUUUCUUUAUUUAACAUCUUUAAAACAUCAAACUUCUCUUUUUAUUAUCUAUGUAUUUUACUUUGAAAAAAACUUACAAUUAAAGCAUUCUACUUUCAGAAACUUCCAUCUUACAUUCAAUUUUCAAAAACAUCUGAUUUUUAGCAUUGCACUUUAACUUUUUCUUUAUGUGACAUCAUUGAAAGAUCAAACGUUUCAUUUCUCAUCUAUGCAUUUUACUUUGAAAAAACUUUCAAUCAAAGCAUUUUAUUUUCAAAAAUUUCCAGUUUACAUUCAAAUUCGAUUUUCAAAAAUCAUCCAAUUAUUAGCAUUGUACUAUAAAUUUUUAUUUAUGUAACUUCAUUGAAACAUCAAACUUCUUUUUUUCUUAUUUAUGUAAUUUACCUUGAAAAAACUUCCAAUUAUAAUAUUAUACUUUCAAAAACUUUCCAUUUUACAUUGUGUUUUUUAAAAUCAUCACAUUUUUAGCAUUGUAAUUUGACUUUUUUUAUGUAACAUCAUUAAAUCAUCAAACCUCUCUUUUUCUCAUCUAUGCAUUUUACUUUGAAAAAGCUUCUAAUUAUAGCAUUCUACAUUAAAAAAUAUCCAAUUUUUACCAUUGUACUUCACCCUUUUCUCUAUAUAACAUUAUUGAAACAUCAAACUUUUUUUUUUCUCAGCUACACAUUUUACUUUAAAAAAACUUCGAAUUAAAGCAUUCUACUUGUAAAAAUUUCCACUUUUACAUUCAAUUUUGAAAAUUCAUCUCAUUUUGAACAUUGACUUUAACUUUCUCUUUAUGUAACAUCAUUGAAACAUCAAACGUCUCAUUUCUCAUCUAUGCAUUUUACUUUGAAAAAACUUUCAAUCAAAGCAUUUUAUUUUAAAAAAUUUCCAUUUUACAUUUGAUUUUCAAAAAAUUGUCCCAUUUUUAGGAUUGUAUUUUAACUUUUUCUCAUGUAAACGUUUUACUUUGAAAAAAACUUACAAUUAAAGCAAUUUACAUUCAAAAACUUCCAUCUUACAUUCAAUUUUCAUAAAUCAUCCUAUUUUUAGCAUUGCACUUUAAUUUUUUCUGUAUGUAACCUCAUUGAAACAUCAAACUUUUUUUUUUCUCAUCUAUGCAUUUUACUUUCUAAAAAAACUUACAAUUAAAGCAUUCUACUUUCAAAAAACUUCCAACUUAUAUUCAAUUUUCAAAACUUAUCCCUUUUUUUGCAUUGCAUUGUAAAUUUUUCUUUAUGUUAUUAUUAGCAUAUUGCAUUUUAAAAAUCAAUGAUAUUUUUAGCAUUAUAUGUUAGCGUUUUCUCAUAUAUGCAUUUUGGUUUGAAAAAUACUUAUAUGUAAAGCGUUGUACUUUCAAAAAUCAUCCAAUUUUUACCAUUGCACUUUAACUUUUUCUGUAUGUAACCUCAUUGAAACUUUAAACUUCUUUUUUUCAUCUAUGAAUUUUAAUUUAAAAAAACUUCCAUUUUACAUUCAAUUUUCAUAAAUCAUCUCAUUUUUAUCAUUGUACUUUAACUCUUUCUUUAUUUUACAUUUGAUUUUCAAAAAUCAUCUCAUUUUUAGCAUUGCACUUCAACUUUUUCUUUAUAUAUGCAUUUUAUUUUCAAAAACUUUCAUUUCACAUUCAAUUUUCAUUAAUCAUCCCAAUUUUAGCAUUGCAUUUCAACUUUUUAUUUUUGUAAUAUCUUUGAAACAUCAAACUUCUAAUUUCUCAUCUAUGCGUUUUAAUUUGAAAAAACUCCAAUCAAAAGCAUUUUAUUUACAAAAACAUCCAUUUUACAUUUGAUUUUUAAAAAUCAUCCCAUUUUUAGCAUUGUACUUUAACUUUUUCUUUAUGGAACAUCAUUGAAACAUCAAACUUCUUUUUUUCUCAUCUAUGCAUUUUGCUUUGAAAAAACUUCCAAUUCGAGCAUUCUACUUUCAAAAACUUUCAUUUUACGACGUAUUUUUAAAAAUAAUUCCAUUUUUAGCAUUGUACUUUCUGUAACAUCAUUGAAACAUUAAACAUCUUUCCGUAACUUCCAUUUUACAUUUAAUUUUAAAAAAAUAUCACAUUUUUAACAUUGGACUUUACCUUUUUCUUUCUGUAAUGUCAUUGAAACAUCAAACUUAUUUUUUUCUCAUCUAUGCGUUUUACUUUGAAAAAACUUCCAUUUAACAUUGUAUUUUCAAAAAUCAUCCAAUUUUUAACACCGUACUUUAACUUUUCUUUUUGUAAACAUCAUUGAAGCUAAUGCAUUUUAAAAAUUUCCAAUUAAAGCUUUCUACUUUCAAAAUCGUCCAUUUUACAUUGAAUUUUCAAAUAUCAUCCCACUUUUAGCAUUUUACUUUCUGUAACAUCUUUGGAACAUCAAACAUCUUUUUUUUUCUCAUCUAUGCAUUUUAUUUUGAAAAUACUUCCAAUUAAAGCAUUCUACUUUUAAAAACAUCCAUUUUUACAAUGAAUUUUUAAAAAUCAUCCCAUUUUUAGCAUUGUACUUUACCUUUUUCUUUUUGUAACAUAAAACAUUAUUUUUUCUUAUUUAUGCAAUUACUUUGAAAAAACUUCCAAUCAUUAUUAGUAUUGUUUUCAAAAACUUCCGUUUUGCACAAAAUUUUCAAAAAUCAUCAUAGAUUUAGCAUUAUUAGUAUUACACUUUAACAUUUUUUUUUAAUAUAAUAUCAUUGAAACAUCAAACUUCUCAUUUCUCAUCUAUGCAUUUUACUUUUAAAGAACUUCUAAUCAAAGGAAUUUAUUUUCAGAAACUUCCAUUUUACAUUCAAAUUUAAAAAAUAUCCCAUUAUUAGCAUUGUACUUUAACUUUUUCUUUAUGUAACAUCAUUGAAACAUCAAACUUCCCUUUUUCUCAUGUAUGCAUUUUACUUUGAAAAAACUUACAGUUACAGAAUUCUACUUUUAAAAACUUCCGUCUAUGUACUUUACCUUGAAAGAAACAUGAACCAAUCUAAAGAUAUAUUUAGAAAAUUUGAUAUGAGUGAACUUUUAGUGUAAGGAUAAGGAGCAUAACCUUAAUGUAGUAAUACAUUAGGAUUGAAAUGAUGACACGAAAAUAUGAAAUAUGAUCAUGUUCUAUGUUUUAAGGAUCCCAUGAUUUUGUUCUAUUAUUAUUGCAUGUGAUAUGAUCAAUGUUUUAAGGAUCACAUGGUUAUGUUUUAUCAUUAUGACAACAUAGAAAAUAGAAACUCUCUACAUGGUUUGAUUAAUGCAAGUGAAUCCCUUGAACAUGCCAUGCAACGUGUUAUUAAUGACAACCUUGAGUUGGCUGUGCAUCAAUUGAGAAGCUUCUGUUUUCUUAAUCCUGUUAUGGGUGUUCUGUUUUCUUAAUCUCUUUGCUUAUAAUUGUCUAGUAAGUGCUAAUGACUUAUUAAAAUAAAAGUUGUGAAUAUAUUUAUUUAAGUCUACAAGUUUUUGCAUUUAGAAUGUCAUUCAUCACAACUAUAGUUUUUCUAUUGUAUGAUAUCAUGCACAAGGGCAACAACAUAAUCUUUUAUCUCCCUUGCUGAAACACUGAAGAUGAGUGAUGCAAGAGUAUUAUUGUCUGCUCUUCACAAUGUCAUUCGCACUUUAUCCAAGGUUUGAUCUUGCCCCUAAUAAUUAUUCUCAUCUUAUUACAUCAUAUUUCUGCAUUUUUAAGACCUUAGUUUAUGAAUGUAAUCAUUAUUUCAUUCUUGUAACACCUUAGUUUCUAUGCUUUAUUGGGUUUGAUAUAUAUUUUUUUUUCUUUCGGUUACGGAAUACAAUUCUAGGUUGUUUGUGCCUUACUAAUUUUCAUGAACACAAACUAAUAUUUUACUCUUUUUAUAGAAUGUUGCCACCUGAAACCAAAUAAAUCAAUAUUUAUCCAAAUAGAAAGCAGUUUUGAUCUAAUUUCCUGGGUUUAUAUGCAACAAAAGAGAUUACACUUUCUGUUAUUUUCUAUUAAAUUACNUUGUUAUUAAAUUACAUUUUCAUUUUUUCCUUUAUUAAAGUUAUGCUUCCAAACUCUUAUUUAUUAAAACAUUUUAAUUUAAAAAAGUUCACUCAUUACAUUGAUUAUGUAUGACUUAUGAGUUAUGUUUUGUGGUAUGUGUUUGUAGAAGCUGUCACAUGUUUUAUGGGAAAGACAGAAGAAAUUUUCUUUUACCAAUUAUAUUCAUAUUGAAUCCAAGGUAUGUCAUCUCCUGCUGCUGUUAUUCUUUUUCAUUAAGUGAAUACCAAAAAUACCCCUCAACUAAAUACAUUCUCUUUAUUUGCUGAUUUUCCCAUAUUACCCUUAUCUAGACUAUAUCACGUAAGUGGAUGCUUAGAAAAUUUUCUCUACUGCAACUUCCAUUCUUUUUCAUAUUAAGGCAUUGUAUUUUGAAUAAUCUAUCAGUUAUAGCAUUUUAUAUUCACUUUUCCUGUUAUUAGCACAUAUGUGUUUUUACAAAUCAACCCAUUUUUGGCUUUGUACUUUUUUUAAUUUUUUUCUUAAUGUUAGAACAUUGAAACACCUAACUUUUUUUUUUCUUCUCAAUGCAUUUUACUUUAAAAUCUUCCAAUUAUAGCAUUCAAUUUUCAGUUUUCUUAUAAUUUGCACAUUGCAUUUUUAAAAUAAUCCCAUAUUUGGUAUUGUACGUUUACUUUGAAAGAACUUCCAAUUAAAGCAUUCCACUUUCAAUUUUCUUAUUAUUAGCACAUUGACUUUCCAAAAACAUCUCAUUAUUAACAUUUUAUUUUCACUUUUCUUUUUGUUGCAACAUUGAAACAUCAAACUUCUUUUUUCUCAUUUAUGCAUUUGACUUUGAAAAAUCUUGCAUUUAUAGCUUUCUGCUUCUCAUUUUCUUAUUAAUUAGCGCAUUGCAUUUUUUAUAAAUCAUCUCAUUUUUAGAGUUGUACUCACUUUCCUUUCUGUUAAACAUUGAAACAUUUGUGUAGUUUACUUUAAAAAAUCACCACUUAUAACAUUCUUAAGUUUUCUUAUUGUUAACAUAUUGUAUUUUAAAAAAUCAUCCUGUUUUUAGCAUUGCACUCUUUUUCCUUUCUGUUACAACAUUGAAAGUCAAACUUUUUUUUUUCAUAUAUGCAAUUUACGUUGAAAAAUCAUCCAUUUAUAUAGCAUUCUUCUUUCAGUUUUCCUAAAUAUAAACACUAGGCAUUUUUAAAAAUCAACUCAUUUUUAGCUUUGUGCUUUCACUUUCUUUUCUGUUACAACAUUAAAACCUUACACUUUUUUUCCCAUAUAUGCAGUUUACUUUGAAAAAUCAUCAUAUUAUAGCAUUCUACUUUCAAUUUUCUUAUAAUUAGCAUAUUGCAUUUUGAAAAAAUCAUCCUAUUUUUAGCAAUACUUUCUAUUUUCUUUCUUUACAACAUUGAAACAUGAAACUUCUUUUUUCUCAUGCAUUUUACUUUGAAUGAAACAUGAGCCAAUCAAGGGGAUGCUAAGAAUGUAGGGAUAAUAAAAAAAUGUAUUUUGAAAUUUUAUUUUGAGUGGGCACUUAGUGUAAGGAUCUGGAGCAUAGUCUUAUUGUAAGGAUACAUUAGGAUUGGAAUGAUGACAAGAAAGAUGAAAUAUGUAUUACAUGUGAAGUGACCAAUGUUUUAAGGAUCCCAUGAUUAUGUUCUAUCAUAAUAAUAACAUAGCAAAGAGUUUAAUGUCAACAAGAUUGGAUCUUUGUACAAAUAAGUACCAUUUGAAUAUUUAAGAAUCAUAUAUGUAUAUGUGCUCUUGCAUCAUAAAGUGAUUUUAGCAGGUGGAUUGAGGAUUUGAAGGAUAUGAAUGGAUGAUACACUUAAGAUUAUUGAUUAAGUCGAGGAUUAUGUAAGUCGUGGGUGUCAUAAUUAAACAAGAGAAGUAUGACUCUUCUACUUUGAUGUUAAAUACUUCAUAGAAAAAGUAUGAUCUAGAUUUAGUCGUAAUGACAUGAGAUAUAAUGAUCACUUUAGGUAUGAAUGAUAAUGCACGAUACAUGUAGGGACACUUGAAAAAAAUCAUAUCAUUUUUAGCAUUUUACUAUUGCUUGUAUUUCUAUAAUAACAUUGAAACAUGAACUCAAAUUUUUCUCAUCUAUGCAUUUUACUUCGAAAGGUUUUCUAAAUAUAGCAUCCUACUUUCUGAUUUCA